UGACGGCUUAUCCUUGUCCCGAAAACUGCUUUUGAUGGACUGCCUAUAAAAUGUGAAAGAGAGCAGAAAAAAAGAUGAAUUUAGCUGGGAAUAAAGACAAGUGGACAUGCGGUUGGGUUGCUUCUGCAAACUUUUGGCUAAGCUACUUAAGCGUUAUGGAGAAUUUCAAGCUGAACCACAAGUAAUAUUCUGUUGGAGUCAAGAUAUCUUGGUUUUCGCGCCGCACAGCCCCAGGACACGCCUCCACGCGUAGACAGAACAAAGCUUUAAGAGAACGACCACGGCGAGUGAGUCUCACUCUUGACGAUGUGUGCUAUGACUGAUUUGAACAAUUGACUUUAACCAAACACAGCCCGAAGCCACAACAUACCAAGCAACCACACACACAGACACAUUCAUAAACACUCGCACUCUUUGGUUUCGAGUAUAUAUGAAUGCGAGUGUCUAGUCGAGCUUGUUGCAGGAGUGCCGAGCGCCGAGCGCCGUGAGCGUUUGCUGGAGUGUAAUGUAUACGAUAUAUACUCAUAAAUACUUAUUUGUAUUCGCAUUAUUGAAUGGCAAUUACGGCUUGUGUUACAAUUUGUUGCCUAUUUGGAGCUAUUUGUUAUGAUGUGAUGUGAGCCAACAAAUCAAAUGCAAGUUAAAAACAAUGCGAGUGGAAAAUUCAAAUGCAGACAAUAAAGAAAAUUGCAAAGUAGUUUCAUUUCCAAUCCACACAAAAAAUAACAUGCAAACAUUGUCUGCAAUCGAUUGCGACUACUACACAUUGUAAACCAAGCCGAGACUCAUUCUAUGUAGUUGUUGUGGGCUGGCUGCAUUCAUCGAACACAAAUCCAAAUUAUUGUUAUUUCUCUUUUGCUUUGAUUGGAUGUAUUGUCGACUUCUAUUACACUGGCCUUCCUUUAACCCCUCUCACGAUCUCUCGCUCUCGUUCUCAGUACAAAGUCUCGUGGGGCAGCUGCUGUACUGCUUUGCUCUCGACAGCGCGACAGAGCGUGUGAUAAGAAGGAGACCCUGUUUGUUGAACCUACAGCACAAACAGACUGAUAGACAGACGGAUGGACAGCUAAGAGCGGGUCGACAAACCUUAAAUGAAUUUGAUAGAUGCAUCGUGUUCAGCCAAUUUUAAAUUUGGCAAUUUUAAUAAAUGCGCGAGUGCGAGUGCAAGUGGAACCUGUGCUCACUCAA